rnacentral:misc_RNA from 1 species
ACCCUUGUGGAGGAGGACGCCGAAGGUGGGGCUAAUGACUGGGGUGAAGUCGUAACAAGGUAGCCGUACCGGAAGGUGCGGCUGGAUCACCUCCUAACAGGGAGACAACAAAAUGUUUAAUAUUAUUAUUUUGUCACCUUAGGUCGAUCGGUAUCUCACGUUUUUAAUUUAUUAAGAAUUUCAUUUCCUAAGUUUUUCUAGGUCACACCCAUUAUUUUUCCUGGGCCAUUAGCUCAGGUGGUUAGAGCGCACCCCUGAUAAGGGUGAGGUCCCUGGUUCAAGUCCAGGAUGGCCCAUAUCUCUAUGUUGGGGGUAUAGCUCAGUUGGUAGAGCGCCUGCUUUGCAAGCAGGAUGUCAGCGGUUCGAGUCCGCUUACCUCCACUGAUUACCACCUCUUCCAUAACCGGUAGAAAGGAAAUGUUUUGAGUUGUGAUCAAAUUCUGAAAGAAUCUAGCUUCCUAAUGAAAUCAUUAAGAUGCUGGACUCAUUGAAUUAAUUUCAUUGUUUUCAGAGAACCUUGACAACUGCAUAGAUUAUUUUUAAAGACAAUAAGCAUCUUUAAUGAUGCAGAUUUAUUAUUUGUGCGAAUGCAUUAAUAACAAUUCUAUUAAGCUGAUGCUUCAAUUUUUGAAGUUAUUGGUCAAGCUACAAAGGGCUCACGGAGGAUACCUAGGCACACAGA